rnacentral:lncRNA from 1 species
AACCGUAGUCGGGUUUUUUUUCUCGGCUUGACUCGGAUUAUCGGGUUGGUGCGGUUUGUCGGUUUUCUUUAUACACCCCUAUGUAGAUAUUUUUGCUUUAGCGAUAAAAUAAUGGCAAUUUCUAUGAAUAAUGCUUCUAGUAGUACUAGUGCAAUACGCCUGCUAACAAAAACUCUUAAUCAUGCAUUUAGUAAUAUUUUCCAUGUUAGAUGUAUUUGUCAUACUUAUCAUUUAAUUGUUGGUGA